rnacentral:lncRNA from 1 species
UGAUUCUCAAGGGAAGACGGUGAGUUUCAGAAACUGCUUUGUGAUAAUGACGUCUAACAUAGGAGCUCAAAGCAUACUCGAUACUUUCCGGGGCAAUGAAGACCGCAAAGAGGCUGUUUAUGAGACGAUGAAGCAACAAGUUGUGGAGUUAGCAAGAAAAACUUUCAAGCCAGAGUUUAUGAACAGAAUCGACGAAUACAUUGUGUUCCAGCCUUUGGAUACAAAAGAAAUAUCCAAAAUCGUGGAGAUUCAGGUAUGUAAUUUAUUUUUAGUCUUUUUAGGUUUUACAUAUUUUUAGUUUUUUUAGUUUUGGUAUAAAUGAAUUGUUUCCAAUGGGUGCAGAUGAAACGGGUCAAGAAUAGGUUGGAAGAGAAUAAAAUAAAACUUGAGUACACACAAGAAGCAGUGGACCACCUUGCUCAGCUUGGGUUUGAUCCCAACAAUGGUGCAAGACCUGUGAAGCGAGUGAUUGAGAAGAUUGUGAAGAAGGAGAUCGCCAACAAAGUUCUGAAAGGAGAAUUUGCUGCGGAUGACACUAUUCUUCUCGAUGUUG